AAAAAGACAAACCCCGAUUUUUCGUGUCCAACUUUGACUAUCCGUUUUAUACGAAAUUUUUUUAUAAUUCGUAUUUUCAUUAUUGUUACAUGAUAAAACAUGAUUAAUAUUUUAUACGUAACUUGUCUUUUUAAUUUUUUUCAUAUUUUUUUCAAAUAAGACGGACGGUCAAACGUUGGACACGAAAAUUAGGGUUUGUCUUUUU
rfam:Oryza barthii chromosome 5, whole genome shotgun sequence.